UGACUUGCUGAACUUCAAAUUGAGUGUCAGAAUGAGGAAGAAAGGGGAUUUAAGUGAUUUUGAACAUGGCACGGCUGUUGGUGUCACACGGACUGGUGUGAGUAUUUUGGAAACUGCUGAUCUACUGGGAUUUUCACACACAACCAUCUCUAAGGUUUACAGAGAAUGGUCCAAAAAAGAGAAGAUAUCUAGUGAGCAGCAGUUGUGUGGACAAAAAUGCCUUGCUGAUGGCAAGCGGUCAGAGGAGAAUGAGUAGACUGGUUGAAUGGGGGGCUGUGUGAUGCUAUCAUGUCAAUAUGGACCAGCAAUUCUGAGGAAUGUUUCUAACACCUUGUUGAGUCUAUGCCACAAAGAAUUAAAGCAGCUCUGAAAGCAAAAGGGGAUCCAACCCAGUACUCGCAAGGUGUACCUAAUAAAGUCAGCACAAUAGUCAACAC